UCCAAAGCUCCCCUCUCAAAAGUUUUCCUUUAAUAGUGUAGGCUUUGGAUCAAGCCCUGAGACUGACAGGGAGCAUCAGUACCAUUGUCAAGAUGAGUAGAAGAGGCACAAACUGGAACAAGUGACUUACCAGAUUUUUCUUCCUCUCUGUUCAGCCUCCACAGACUCUCUCCAGAUCUUAUCCUGUCGAACUUGGUCCUGCUGCAGUGCUGCCUGCUCGUCUGCCCAGGCCUGAGGAGCCGGUUGUGCAGUGACAGCUCUUCUGGGUUGGGUACUGCCGAGAGACACAGAUGGAGCUGAGGCUGGUGGCCCCAGAGGUGUGGUUGCUGGUUGCCAAGACCUAACCAAGCCAAACAGCAAAAAAAGUCAUGUAUCCACGCAGCAUUGUCAUGAACUGAAGAUGUGAACUGUUUGCCACCCUGACCUGACAGUUGUCUGUGUUGCUCUUGUGGAAUCUGUUUAUCCUGCUGCAUUCAUUCCAGGGUCUUCUCCAAGUUGGCGUGUGUGCAGCUGGUUUCAGAAUGGGGUUUCACAGCAUCUCACUGCUUUAAAAGGAAUGCACAAUCAGUGCACAGGGCAGGAAGGGAUCCUGAUGGAAAAUAUGUUCCUGUUCAUGGAAAGCAUUUAAAUUCUUCUUUACAGAGAUCUUGUGUUAUUUUAAUUCUAAUCCUUCCUUCAAGUCAACUUCUGCAAAUAAAACAUAGUAAUAAACUGAAAAAGGUUAUUGAGCUGACUGCAUAGCUUUCAAAUGACUGCUUGUGGCCACUGAAUAAACUGUAUGGAAAUACUACAAGCAAGUCUUUAAAUGUUUGUGCCACUGAAUGGUGUCUGCAAAGAUGCAGAAGUUGUAAUUACCCUGGUUGUGGUGCAGGGGUGAUGCUACAAAGUGCCUCUCAGGACAUCUUGCUGAAAGUGAGCUCACAGGUUAAAUCCAGAGUUUGAGACCCCACAGGCUCAGAAAAGAUGGAAGUCUUAACUGUUUAGGAUUUUUUUAGGCUUUAAACAAAAGAAAGCUAUAAGUCUCUAGGCAGGUAUGGGACACUUCGUAAUGUUCAAGCUCUUUGGAAGUAAUAGAUGGGAAUGGGAUCAUGGAUGUUUAAAUUAGUUGGAUUUUUAAAACAUUAUAUAGUAUGACUGUAAAAUGUACUUGCUGUUCCCAAACCAGACAACCAGGAGCUGAUAUUUUGAAUGUUAUCCCAUUUUCCACUGGGACUAGAAGUCAUUAAGGGAGAUUGGAUAUGCACAUUGCUCUGGAUUCCUCACUGGACAUACUAGUAGCCCAUUUAGGCCAUUUACUAGAUCAACAGCUCAGCAAAAGUGCUGCAGAUACUGAAUUGUUCCCUCUCAGAUUACCAUCUGCCAGUUUAGCAUUUUGUUUGUUCAUUAUAACACCUCGGGGCAUUUAGGCAGGGAGUUCAUUGGAAUUGGUACAAUUGAUUUACUGUGUACUUCUCACCUUGUAAUAGAAUAGGUUGAAUAGGUUGAUGUUUAUUCUGGCUUCAUGCCAUAUGAAUCUAUCUAAAUUGAUUAUAGCAUCUUUGUUUUUUCUGCUUCUGGAUAUGGAACUUGAAAAAAGUUAUUGAGUGUCUCUGUAGGAGAUGAUGCCUUUGCUUAGGAGUUGGUUUUGGGAUUAGUUUAUCUGACAAGCAGCAUUGGCACCCGUCAUUCUAAGGAAGAACUUGACUGAAGUUAAUCUUUUGUGGUUACCAGAAAAGUGAUACGAUAUGCCCUACAAAUUCAUCUGUGAAAAAUAUGUGAGUUGUUUCCCCUUUUCAAAGGAGAAGAUAUUUAGAGAGGCUUUUUAUGGAGGAAAAACCUCAGGUGUCUAGACAAAACAUUUUAUAUGGCCACAAGAGGGUAUUGCAGUAUCAGUAAUGCAAGACUUGAACGAAUUUUUGACUUUACCUAUGCUGCCUUGUUUUUAAAAUACACAUUUAUUGAAACUGAUCAUUUACAUUAAGCAGUAGCUAAGAAAAUUCGGUUUUAUGUGCCUGUAUUUGAUGUCCUUGUCUAGAGGCAAUUUCUGAGCUGUUUUUUCAAAAAGGUAUUUUGUUUUUUAUAGCAACAGGUUUCUUGCAGCUCAAGAAGUUCUCAUAGAUUUCACUGGAAGACAUGCACUUCAGAAGCUUAUUCCAAAACACUGCAAAACUUAAUGAAAAUGGCUUGAUUGAAUAUAAGAAUGCAUCAGUCACAGAAGGGAAGUAAUAACGGGAGAUGAUUGUGUUGCUGCUUUGGUUGGAUGGGCAUAUUGGUCCAGGGUGGGCACUGUCUCAGGCAUCCCAUAUGGUCCUUCUUGCAGGAAUAAGAUAAUUAAUUAGUGUUUCUCAGAUUUCCCCUUUACAUCCAUGUCUUCUACAAUGUACAUCCAAUGUUGGCUUGCACUUUUUUUUUAAGUUAGUGCUGUGUUGGGAUACUUUCCUACAAAAGUUAUUUCUUCUAAACUUUAAGAACUUUGUUGCCAAAUAUUCGUGCCAUGUCUUGUACGUUUUAGACCAUGAAAGAGGAAGCUGGAAGGAUUUCUGUAUUCUCCCACUCCUAGAUCUGCUGUUGAAUUUAGGAGAAGAUGCAUGAGUAGUGCUGAGAGAGCCUGGCAAGUUGAGCGUCU